GUCAUUAUAUAAGCUCAGUUGGUUAGAGCGUCGCACUGGUAUCACGAGGUCACGGGUUCAAACCCCGUUGAAGUCCUGACU
rnacentral:tRNA from 1 species